rnacentral:tRNA from 1 species
ACUAGAAUAUCUUAAGUUAAAAGUUUAACUUUGAAGAAGUUACGAUAGAAUAAAAUUCUUUCUAGUA